UGAGAAGACGGAGCCGCAGCGAAAGCGAGUCUGAAUAGGGCGAAAUAGUACGUGGUCGUAGACCCGAAACCAGGUGAUCUACCCAUGUCCAGGAUGAAGGUGAGGUAACACUUACUGGAGGUCCGAACCCACGCACGUUGAAAAGUGCGGGGAUGAGGUGUGGGUAGCGGAGAAAUUCCAAUCGAACCUGGAGAUAGCUGGUUCUCUCCGAAAUAGCUUUAGGGCUAGCCUCGUGAUUGAGAAUACUGGAGGUAGAGCACUGUUUGGACUAGGGGGGCAUCUCGCUUUACCGAAUUCAGACAAACUCCGAAUGCCAAUGAUUUAUACGCGGGAGUCAGACUGCGAGUGAUAAGAUCCGUAGUCAAAAGGGAAACAGCCCAGACCACCAGCUAAGGUCCCAAAGUAAUCGUUAAGUGGAAAAGGAUGUGACGUUGCUUAGACAACCAGGAUGUUGGCUCAGAAGCAGCCAUCAUUUAAAGAGUGCGUAAUAGCUCACUGGUCGAGUGACGCUGCGCCGAAAAUGUAUCGGGGCUAAACGAUUCACCGAAGCUGUGGAUGCAUACCUAGGGUAUGCGUGGUAGGAGAGCGUUCUAAUAGCGUUGAAGUCAGAUCGUAAGGACUGGUGGAGCGAUUAGAAGUGAGAAUGCCGGUAUGAGUAGCGAAAGACGGGUGAGAAUCCCGUCCACCGUAUGACUAAGGUUUCCUGAGGAAGGCUCGUCCGCUCAGGGUUAGUCGGGACCUAAGCCGAGGCCGAUAGGCGUAGGCGAUGGACAACAGGUUGAUAUUCCUGUACCACCUCCUUACCAUUUGAGCAAUGGGGGGACGCAGUAGGAUAGGGUAAGCGUGCUGUUGGUUAUG
rnacentral:rRNA from 1 species